AUUUUCUGAUUUCAGUUUAGUUUUCCUUAGUUUGUAAAGAUAUUUAGGUGUUUCUCAGGAUUCCCCUCACUUUUGAAACUAGUAGAUUUCUGUUGGUGUAGUUGUUGCUCUCAGCCACCAGCUAACAUUAGUAGUUGGUCAGUAUCGUAGCUGCUGAACUAAAUUUUUAUUCAUCACGUCACCUUGUAGUUUAAAUAUAAACUGAGCCGCAUGUCUGUGUUGAGAUGUAACAGUUAUAUUUUUUAUCUGCAGCCUGAAUGUGAAGACGAGGAAGAAGAUCUGGAUCCCCACAGACUGUUAACAAAAUGACAUCAUGGGUUUCAUGCCUUUCUUCAUGGUCCCACUGUGGACUUUAAUGCUCCGCUUGGGUUCAGUUAAAGGAUCAUUUGUAGUGGAUGUGACACAGAGCUCCUAUCAGGCAGAGGAGAACCACAACAUCACACUGGAGUGGACGUUCACCACCAAACCAGACACAUCCAUCUCAGCACUGAGGAUCCUCUGUAGCCUGAAUAAUGGCCAUAAACACUUAACUCUGUAUUAUCUUCAUGAUGGUGUCGAGUUCUCAGAGGAUCAGGAUGAAAAGUUUUCUGGACGAGUCCAGAGUGACAAAGACGCCCUCAGAGAAGGACGAAUCAGACUCCAGCUGUCCAGACUCAGGACUGAGGACUCGGGUCUGUACCUGUGUGAGGUGGACACAGGUUAUGGCCGCGGCUACAACAGCUGCAGAGUCACCGUCUCUGAUACAGAUUUUGCUAUAAUCUUGACAACAGACAUUUUGCUGCAAACUAAACUUCCUCAGGAAAAGACUCCAACAAACGCAGGUCGAUCGAGGGUCGUUGUCGUCGUUGUCGUCACCUUAUUAUUAGUUCUGACUCUCGUUGGUUUUGCUGCGUAUUUCUCUCACUGCAUUUUUCAGAAACUAAAAGUAAGAAACAAAUAAACAAACACAAACAUGUUGUUGCUUCUUGUUUCGUCAGACUGACUCAUUAUUCUCCUUCUUUCAGCAGAAGCAUCCAGAUGAUGAUGAUGAGACACAAAAACAACCACUAGCAGUCUAGCUCGGUCAAGUUAUAUUCAAACCAGCAUCCACAGGGUGACCCUCGGACCCAGCACCACUGAGAUCAUCAUAAGGUCACUCCUAUAAAAGGAUGUGAGCCUGAUUUGAACUUUGACCCCAGCUGAAGACUCGAGCCUCGUCCAGUUUAUUUAUCGAGCUCAUUUUCACACAAAGAAAGUGUCAAAAAAGAAAACCCAGAGUGGAAGAUCAGAGGAUGUAAACAGGAAAUAUUUCUUACAGAAGUCUUCAGUCAAAGUGGCUGCUGUCAGACUCUGGAGGAUCUGCUUGGAAACAUCAAGCAGUGAAACUGAUGGAUUUCCUCCUUCAAUACAAAACUGUGAAGUUCAGCCUGGAGAAGAAACACUCCUCUCCCUCACUGUCAGCAUGUUUAAUGAAUAUUUAUUUAAUCUUUACCUUACUGGGUUAAAAUCCCCCCAGAUCAUUACUGUGCUGGACUGACAUGAAUCAUUCCCAAACACGGAGUCUUUUCCAUUCAUUUUGCAGUCACUACCGAUGAAAGUGGAUAUUUUCAACACAGUUCAUGUGGAAAGAUCAAAAAAAUAAUUCACCUGAAAAUGUUGGUGACACAGGAGACUGGAAAAGCACCAACAAGUUUUAAAGUAACACAAACAGGAUUUAUGGAGCUCAUAAGGAGAACUCCUUUGUUUUACUGACCUCACUGUAUGAAAACAGACUUUGUUACCACAGCUGAUGAGCUCUGAUUGUUUUUGUUUUCUUUCUAACAUCUUUGAAUGUCUCAGAGGAGCUGAGCUAUAAGCUGAUUACUUUCAACACCUUUCGUUAAUAAUCUGCUGCACUUUAUAAACAUCCCAAAGGAGGCGACUUAUUCUUUAGAUUUGGGGAUUUUCAAAGCUACAAAUAAUUGAGUUUAAUGU
ensembl:lncRNA